AUACGGAGGAUGCAAGCGUUAUCCGGAUUUAUUGGGUUUAAAGGGUGCGCAGGCGGCGCGUUAAGUCAGCGGUGAAAUCUCAUGGCUCAACCAUGGAACUGCCGUUGAUACUGGCGUGCUCGAGUACGGACGGCGCCGGCGGAAUGUGUCAUGUAGCGGUGAAAUGCUUAGAUAUGCCACAGAACACCGAUCGCGAAGGCAGCUGGCGAGGCCGGUACUGACGCUCAGGCACGAAAGCGUGGGGAUCAAACAGGAUUAGAUACCCUGGUAGUCCACGCAGUAAACGAUGAGGACUUGUUGUCGGCGAUACAGUGUCGGUGACAAAGCGAAAGCGAUAAGUCCUCCACCUGGGGAGUACGAUCGCAAGGUUGAAACUCAAAUGAAUUGGCGGGG
rnacentral:rRNA from 1 species